CUAGUUAUUAGUUGAUUGAGCUAUGACUAAGGUCUCACAGAACUGCCUGAUCAAAACAACUAAAUUGAACUGAACAUAAAGACUCUUUGAUAAAUAGAGCAGAUAUUUUCAUAGAUCUACAGAAAAUUCUAGCCUUGAAGCCAAGAAAAUGUCCCCCUACACCCUGGCCCACCCUGAAGAUGUAAAGCUGCUCACUUGUGUUCCACAGUAUGAAUCUUAGGAACACGCGUAGCUUUUCUUGAAACCCAUGCUGAAGUUAACAAUUAGUUCAUAUGUCUUAGAAGAAACAAAAUAAAAUUCAUCAUGUGACCACCAGUUUGUUUGAUGUUUAAAAAAAUAGUAUAUUAAAGGAUUACCUGAUGUGGUAAAACCUUGAAUGACAACCAAAAAGCUCAAAGUGCUUUUUGAUUGCCGUGAAAAUCCUUUUUUCUCCAAUUCUCAGCACUGAAAGCUGAGUAUGUCUUCAGCACUUGGCAGAGUACUGUGGACAAACCUAUGAAGCCACAGGAUUCUCUAGUAGCCUAGGUCACUGGCCAUUAUGAUGUCAUCGUUCUGAGGCUCAUGCCAUAACUGACAAGCCUCAAUAUUUGUUGCCCUGACUUUAUGUCUAUCUUUCUCCUCUUUUUAAGUAAUGUUUUUAUUUUGAAAUAACUGCAGACUCACCUGCAGUUACAAGAAAUAACACAGAGUCUAUAACCUUUUACCCAGCUUCCCAUGAUGCAGUCCAUGAGAAUUAUGUAUUACGGUUUGUUUAACCAUGUUGUGGAACGCCUGUGCUGUCUUCAGUUCGGGGCCAUUACAAAUAAAGCUGCAGCAAACAUUUGUGUACACUUUUUUGGUGUCAAGGUAUCCAUUUCUCUAGGUUAAAGGCCUAGGAGUGUAAAUGCCCGAUUGUAUGGUAGUUGUAGGUCUUCCCUGGUGACUCAGGGGUAAAGAAUCUGUCUGCAAAUGCAGGAGAGGAGGGUUGAUUCUCUGGAGGACAAGGCAACCCACUCCACGAUUCUUCCUGGAGAAUCCCCAGGACAGAGGAGCCUGGUGGUCUACAGUCUACGAGGUCACGAAGAGUUGGACAUAACUUAGCAGAUAACAACAGC
ensembl:lncRNA